AAACCAUGAUGAGGACACUCUAAGAGAUGGUCUUUGAAUCAUUCCAUACACCUAGAGAAUGGUUCAUUGGGUCUUUGGUGAAACUUGAGAAUGUCGUUCCUAAGUUU
rnacentral:snoRNA from 1 species